UGCUGGCACAUCAGCUUCACCAAGGCAGGGAUCUUAGUUUUGUUCCCUGAUCAUGAGCAUCCAGAACAGUGCCUGGGACAUACUAGGGGCUCAAUAUAUAGUUCUGGGUUGACUACAUCAGAGUAAAAUGGAUGGGAUCUGCCUUUGUGCAGAGUUCCCCCACGUGGUUUCAAAGGAUUCCAGGAGUCCCUGCGUGUGGAGAGCUGGAUGACCAGAGGGGACUGGUUGGGUGAGCUAACGCUGGGUGUUGCCACAGUGGAAGCUUCAAGGAGGACCUUUUGGGCUGGAGGGCAGCAGUGCUCUGGGACAGUCACAGGCAGACAUUCAACAUCAGUUAGAGACAGCGGGGGCUGAGUCAGCCUUAGGAGUGCUCGGCGAACCUUCUGCCUAAGAUCUGCGGAGUCUGCCAGACACCCCAUCACCCCUGUAAAUUGCCUGAUUCUGCCAGAAGAUACUGGACCCUUCACCUACAUCUCCAGUCAUGAGACUUCCCUCCUACAGGGAGGCUUUUGUUUAGCUGGGCUGAAGUGCUGAGAAAGGGCCCCGGUGGCAGAGGGUCCCAAACACAUGUUAGUGAAAGAACAGCUUCCAUGGACUGCUGAGCAAGUGCUGGGUUCAUUCAUACAACAAUCCUGUCCAGCCUACUCCAAUGCAGUAUGAAAUUCUGGGACCUCCAAGGGAGCAAAUUACACAUAUACACAGGACCACAGUAGCCCUGAUUCACCCAAGAAUCUCCACUGCCACAAAAUGAGGAUACAACAAGGGGAGGACAAGUCAAUAAACAUUUCUCUAGCACUGGGUUAGGAGUCUUCUGUGUGUUAUUGAACUGUGAGAAGGCGUGUAAGAAAGAACAUGCCUUUCUUGUGAAAUGGAUUUUACGAUCUCCACUAUAGAGCUGAAGACCUCCAGGCUCACACCUGUGACAAAUUGGCCAGACUUUUCUGGCACCAAGGACUGCCCUCUUUCAUCAAGUUACCCAGCAGACAAUCAAAGGUGUCAGCUUUCUUCACCAAGGUUUGAUAAUGUUCUAGGGCCCUGGGGAGAGCAAGAGGAGCCUCCGGUAAAAUUGUGAAAUGAGUGAGGUUUGGAUUGGACUCCUUAUAGCAAUCUUCUUCCUACUCGGACAUCCGGCAAGUCCCUUUGCUGACCUCCUUUCACCCCCAGGGCUACUGGCAGAGAAUCCCUGAAAACCAAAAGGGUUGAAGAUGUUAUCUUUUCUAGAGGACACUCAGAGAACAAAAAGGCUUAGAGCUUAAAUUGUGGCAUUUCAGGCUCUAAGAGGGGCAGUGUCUACAAACACCUUAAGUUGCGUUCCCAGCACUUCCCCAGAAGGCAAAAAGAAACUACCUGGAGCACGUUGGAUAUGGGGCUCUAGUUCUGAGACUGAAAAAUCCCAGUUCUCUGCUGAAGUUUGAGGCAUUUAGAACAGCUCCCCUCCCGACCCAAAGGAUGAUUUACUGCAUGGAAGGAGGCUCUUCAGUAUCAUGUGCACAGUGCCACAGCAUUGUAUCUGCCGUCACACCCCGUAUGUUCAGUGCGGCCAUGAGAAAUCAAGGCAUAGGACUGGUGAAGCAUGAGGCACAUGCCCUCCCAAAUUGGGAGUAAAACAAUGUCCCAGGCACCACUACUUUCUUAAACAUUGCUCUGAAAGUGCUAGUCAAUAUAUUUACACAAGGCCAGGUGCAGUGGCUCAUGCCUGUAAUCCCAGCACUUUGGGAGGCUGAGACAGGCAGAUCUCCUGAGGUCAGCAGUUCAAGACCAGCCUGGGCAACAUGGUGAAACCCUGUCUCUACUAAAAAUACAACAAUUAGCUGGGCAUGGUGGCAGAAACCUGUAAUCUCAGCUACUCGGGAGGCUGAGGCAGGAGAAUCGCUUGAACCUGGGAGGCGGAGGUUGCAGUGAGCCAAGAUCACGCCACUGCACUCCAGCCUCGGUGACCGAGUGAGACUCCAGUUUGUCUAAUAUAAAAAUAUGUAUAUAUAUAUAGUCUAAUAUAAAUAUAUAUUUUGUCUAAUAUAAGUAUAUAUUAUAUACAUUUUGUCUAAUGUAAAUAUAUAUAUUUUGUCUAAUAUAAAUAUAUAUAUUUUUGUCUAAUAGAAAUACAAAUAUAUUUUGUCUAAUAUAUAUAUUAGACAAAAGAGUGAAGAAAUAUAAUUUCAACAUUUUAAAAAGGAAGGAAACUCAUUGUUUGUAAGGGAUCUGAUCACAUCAUUGAAAUGUGCAAGAAAAUAAAAUUAUUGGAAAUACUGAAUUCCGUAAGGUUGACAGAUUUUUUUAAAUGCAAAAUUAAUGUCUUUAGACACAAAUGAUCACCACUGAAACAUCCAGAAAUUCCACUUUUAGAAAUCAUCUGAGAAAAUAAUAAGUGCACAAAGAUACAGUCGUAAAAUCAACUUCAGCGUUCAUCAUCGGACAGUUGUUUCAAUGAACUGUGGUUCAUCUAGACAAUGGAAUGCAUAGCCCUUAAAAAUAUUACUGUGGAUCUACAUUUACUGAAAUGGAAAGAUUCCCAUACUAUGGGAUGGUAUGAUAAGCAUGAUAUAAAGUUCUGAAAUUAUAGUGAUAUUAAACUUUUUUAAUACAUUAGGAUUUAAACUUUUAUGUACCAAUAUCAGAACAAAAGGCCAUAAAAAGAUUAAAAUAUAAUGACAAGCCGAGAAUAGAUUGCAUUUCUAUUAUGAUCACUGGUGUAUUUUCUUCACAACACUUACAUCCACUUGAAUUAUAUAUAUUUUUUGUUUUUUAUUAUCUUUCAUUCUCACUAACCUAAAGUGAGGGAAUGUAAGUUUACUGUUGCACACCAGAACCUUGAACAUCAUGAGUAUUUGUUGCAUAAAUUAUGAAUAAAUUCCACUUCUGCA
rnacentral:lncRNA from 1 species